rnacentral:rRNA from 1 species
GACAGAGGGUGCAAACGUUGUUCGGAAUUACUGGGCGUAAAGCGCGUGUAGGUGGCGAGGCAAGUCGGGUGUGAAAGCCCUGGGCUCAACCCAGGAAGUGCACUCGAUACUGCCUAGCUAGAGUCCCGGAGAGGUUGGUGGAACUCUCGGUGUAGAGGUGAAAUUCGUAGAUAUCGAAGAAGAACACCGGUGGCGAAGGCGGCCAACUGGACGGUGACUGACACUGAGACGCGAAAGCGUGGGGAGACAAACAGGAUUAAUGAUCCCGG